GUGAUCUGAAGUGAAGAAUUGGAAGAAAAAAAGCACAUGUGGAGUGACUCCGUCCUCUCUAUCAGGCCUCAGCUUAAAUUCCUGAGUCUUUGAUUCAGAAGUGACCUAAAAUAGGUGGAUAAGAAAACUGAGAAAACAGGGUUAAGUGACAUGCCUGGGUUCACACAGCUAGGAAGUAUCUAAGG
rnacentral:lncRNA from 1 species